UACGUAGGGUGCAAGCGUUAAUCGGAAUUACUGGGCGUAAAGCGUGCGCAGGCGGUUUUGUAAGUCUGUCGUGAAAUCCCCGGGCUCAACCUGGGAAUUGCGAUGGAGACUGCAAGGCUAGAAUCUGGCAGAGGGGGGUAGAAUUCCACGUGUAGCAGUGAAAUGCGUAGAGAUGUGGAGGAACACCGAUGGCGAAGGCAGCCCCCUGGGUCAAGACUGACGCUCAUGCACGAAAGCGUGGGGAGCAAA
rnacentral:rRNA from 1 species